UGAAUGUGUGUAUAAAAAGAAAAACUUACCAGAGUUGGCUUCAUUUCAUUCCAGUAACUCUCUAAAUAGAUCCAAGAACUCACUAAAUAGAAAUCCUCAACUGUUGGAUUCUGUUGAGAUGGGCAGAAUUUGAGUGGUGUCUUCAAAGUCGACCGACACCUGGACUGCAACAUCAUCUUCACUCACCCCAGCGUCAGCAGAUUCCACCUCCAAAUCCUCUCCGAUCCUUAUUCCCCAAAGCUCUCCGUCUGAUUUGUCAUCAGAGUUUUCCAACAAUUCCGGUCAGGUUGGCGUUGAUGUUGGUCUUAAACUAUUCCUCAGCAUGUCAGGUGCCUUCUAUUUCAUGUUUAUAGUGUUUGCUUGAUAAAGACGGAGAAUAGUACUGUCCAAAUGAAUAGGAAGACCUCGAAAACUCGUUGAUGUGUUGCUUUCCUUAAUGCAUAAAGACGGAAAAAAGGGGCAAGUUGCGAAAAGGCCAAAGAAAAAAAAAAAAAAAAAAAAAAAAAAAGAAACAGAGAUUGGUACUUUUCAUGCAUUCGAGUCACCAAGUUUUAUAAUGGCAAGUGGAGAUGGCAAUUGUUGUGGUUCAUACAAUCCCUCCUUUUUAUUUAGAGCAAGUGGAGAUGGCUGUUUGAAUAAAAAGAAGAAUUUGGCCAGAGUGUUCGCCACCGGAGGUUAUGCAGCUGUGCAGAGUCACACAGUGGAACUUGGAUUACCCAAAGCACAGCAAGCAGGUUGAUUG